AAGAGUAGGGAAGAGUGUGAGCCAUGCGUCAAGAAAAGCCGCUAUUGUUUGUAUCGCGCCCGUACCGUAAACCGACACAGGUGGAUGAGGAGAGAAUCCUAAGGCCGACGGGAGAAGCAUUGUUAAGGAACUCGGCAAAAUGACUCCGUAACUUCGGGAGAAGGAGUGCCACUGAGAGGUGGCCGCAGAGAAUUGGCCCAAGCAACUGUUUAGCAAAAACACAGGUCUAUGCAAAACCGAAAGGUGAAGUAUAUGGGCUGACGCCUGCCCGGUGCUGGAAGGUUAAGGGGAGAGGUUAGCGCAAGCGAAGCUUUGAACUUAAGCCCCAGUAAACGGCGGCCGUAACUAUAACGGUCCUAAGGUAGCGAAAUUCCUUGUCGGGUAAGUUCCGACCCGCACGAAAGGCGUAAUGAUUUGGGCACUGUCUCAACAAUGCACCCGGUGAAAUUGAAAUACCAGUGAAGAUGCUGGUUACCUGCGCCAGGACGGAAAGACCCCAUGGAGCUUUACUCCAGCUUGAUACUGGGAUUCGGUAUUGCAUGUACAGGAUAGGUGGGAGGCU
rnacentral:rRNA from 1 species